GACGAACGCUGGCGGCGUGCUUAACACAUGCAAGUCGAACGGUAAGGCCCUUCGGGGUACACGAGUGGCGAACGGGUGAGUAACACGUGGGUGAUCUGCCCUGCACUUCGGGAUAAGCCUGGGAAACUGGGUCUAAUACCGGAUAGGACUCCGGACUGCAUGGUCUGGGGUGGAAAGCUUUUGCGGUGUGGGAUGGGCCCGCGGCCUAUCAGCUUGUUGGUGGGGUGAUGGCCUACCAAGGCGACGACGGGUAGCCGGCCUGAGAGGGUGACCGGCCACACUGGGACUGAGAUACGGCCCAGACUCCGACGGGGGGCAGCAGUGGGGAAUAUUGCACAAUGGGCGCAAGCCUGAUGCAGCGACGCCGCGUGAGGGAUGACGGCCUUCGGGUUGUAAACCUCUUUCAGCAUCGACGAAGCGAAAGUGACGGUAGGUGCAGAAGAAGGACCGGCCAACUACGUGCCAGCCGCCGCGGUAA
rnacentral:rRNA from 1 species